rnacentral:rRNA from 1 species
GAUGAACGCUGGCGGCGUGCCUAAUACAUGCAAGUCGAGCGAACAGAUAAGGAGCUUGCUCCUUUGACGUUAGCGGCGGACGGGUGAGUAACACGUGGGUAACCUACCUAUAAGACUGGGAUAACUUCGGGAAACCGGAGCUAAUACCGGAUAACAUUUGGAACCGCAUGGUUCUAAAGUGAAAGAUGGUUUUGCUAUCACUUAUAGAUGGACCCGCGCCGUAUUAGCUAGUUGGUAAGGUAACGGCUUACCAAGGCGACGAUACGUAGCCGACCUGAGAGGGUGAUCGGCCACACUGGAACUGAGACACGGUCCAGACUCCUACGGGAGGCAGCAGUAGGGAAUCGUCCGCAAUGGGCGAAAGCCUGACGGAGCAACGCCGCGUGAGUGAUGAAGGGGUUCGGCUCGUAAAACUCUGUUAUUAGGGAAGAACAAACGUGUAAGUAACUGUGCACGUCUUGACGGUACCUAAUCAGAAAGCCACGGCUAACUACGUG